GCGGCUGUAAACACGGUCCUGGGACAGAAGUGGAAGUCACUGUCACAGGAACAGCAGGCCACAUAUUACGAACAGGCCGACAGAGAAAGACGGCUCCACGCCCAGCAGCACCCGGACUGGUCGUCCAGUCACAACUAUGGCAAAAAGAGGAAGAGAGAAAGAAGAAGGAAGCCCACCUGUGCUGAAGGUAAGAGCAUAUUUCUGUGAAUCACAGCGUGUUUUCAUGUGAAAUGUCAUGAAAACUAGAUGAUGUGUGGACUUUUAAGGAUUAAUUCUGCAUUUUGGAAAGCUAUUGACCGUUUAACAUCGAUACAAGAGACUGAGGAGCAGAAACCAACUCACUCACACUUUGAAGAUAUGAAGUUCAGUGUUGAUCUACAUUUUAGUAGAUUUAAUAUAAAUGACACAAACAGCUUCCCUGCAGUGAACGACGACACUGACAUAAAGUCUUUAACUGAAGACUGAACUGACGAUUUCUACAAAGCUAAUAAGAAAUCAGAAUCAUCAACACAAACUGUGACAUUUUCAAAUUAAAUGUCAUUUGAUUCAGUGUUGGUAUUAAAAUGUUGUUUAACGCAGGUUUCAGAAACACCAUCUUGUUUUGAAAGGUUUAGAAAACUGAUCUGUGUUUCUGUCUGAUUGUGUUGCUGCAUCUGCAUCCAAACCUGAAGAUGAAACACAGCAGGCCAAGAAAAUGUGUGUGACUCCAGUGCAGACAGCAGUGACGGAGGCCUUGGUCCCACAGACAGAUGUGUUUGAGCCUCACGCACACGCAGGUGCGUUCGAGCCUCACGCAUACGCAGGUGUGCUCGAGCCUCACACACAAACAGGUGUGUUCGAGCCUCACGGACACACAGAUGUGUUCGAGCCUCACAGACACACAGAUGUGUUCGAGCCUCACGUACACACAGAUGUGUUCGAGCCUCACAGACAC